rnacentral:lncRNA from 1 species
CUGGGUCGUCAAGCUCGUUCUGUAUGCUGUGAACUGAAAACAAAUCAAGCAAAACCAAUAAACAUGAGUAUUUUUGUUUUAUUCUUCAAAACUUAGGCUUCAGAGCACAUACCAUUGUAAUGGCAAAUGAAUGCGGUGACAAGAACAGGUACAACAGUGAAGAGGUUCCAGAAGGAUGUUAAGUCACUAACAUCCGGUAGCAAUCUCGGCAUCGCCACGCCACCACUGAUUAACUUCAUGAUCGAAAUCCCCGCUGUGAUGACGAGAAACACGACCGCAAGAGCCACCGAUAGUGCAGAUGUAAAUCUCAAAGAAUCUGCAAAGAAAAGAAUAAAACAAUAUGUCAUAAGCAACUAAACUUAAAAGACCUAGAGUGUAACAUCCCGGUUUCUGGUAUAUGUUCAAAGAUUCAAGAGAGUUGAUUUGGCUACUCCAGCUCAAGCACGCCUAGUUCUAGAGUUUUUUUCUAAGUGCACUUUGAUGACAUAGAUAACAAAAUCAAUUCUCUUAAACAUUUUAACAUAUACUACAAACCGGGAUGCUAUAUAGAGUCUCUAGGAGUAUUCUAAGACACGAAAUGCAAACCAAUCAUUGAAAAAAUCAAGCAAUGCUUGUGGUUAGAACCGAAAACACUAACCAAUACGCUUGAAGCAAGCCAAAGGAGCAAACACACCAAGAGUAGUAAUCAGAAGAAUAGCAGCUCUCCCGUUCCACCAAUGGUAACCAAACCAUCCUUCAAGAACACCAUAAUGGUGAGUCCCAUCCUCCGUCUUUCCAGCCAACACAUCACCUUCAACAAGAAGAUAAAAUCAAAAUUCAACACAAAAGCAGCACUAGACUAUGAGAUGGUUUGAUUAACAAUACCAAUGAUGAUCAUGUAGACAAUCAAAACACCAAUGUUAUUAACCAACACAGCAACCUGAAGCAAAACCCUCCCAGGCUUCCCAAAAGAAUCACCCGAAGUUUGCAAGGACAUCAUCAAGAGUAUCGUCACCGAACAAGAGGAACCCGAAAAUGCUUGUCAUUAUGUACACUGAUGAGCAGAGCAUGAGAGCUGAUCGGACUACUGGUCUUAUCUGAGCUGGGUCGUCAAGCUCGUUCUGUAUGCUGUGAACUGAAAACAAAUCAAGCAAAACCAAUAAACAUGAGUAUUUUUGUUUUAUUCUUCAAAACUUAGGCUUCAGAGCACAUACCAUUGUAAUGGCAAAUGAAUGCGGUGACAAGAACAGGUACAACAGUGAAGAGGUUCCAGAAGGAUGUUAAGUCACUAACAUCCGGUAGCAAUCUCGGCAUCGCCACGCCACCACUGAUUAACUUCAUGAUCGAAAUCCCCGCUGUGAUGACGAGAAACACGACCGCAAGAGCCACCGAUAGUG